rnacentral:rRNA from 1 species
CCUACGGGCGGCAGCAGUGAGGAAUAUUGGUCAAUGGGCGCGAGCCUGAACCAGCCAAGUAGCGUGAAGGAUGACUGCCCUACGGGUUGUAAACUUCUUUUAUAAAGGAAUAAAGGGAGGCACGUGGGCCGUUUUGUAUGUACGUGAUGAAUAAGGAUCGGCUAACUCCGUGCCAGCAGCCGCGGUAAUACGGAGGAUCCGAGCGUUAUCCGGAUUUAGUGGGGUUAAAGGGAGCGUAGAUGGGUUGUUAAGUCAGUGGUGAAAGUUUGCGGCUCAACCGUAAAAUUGCCAUUGAUACUGGCAGUCUUGCGUACCGUUGAGGUCGGCGGAAUUCGUGGUGUAGCGGU